AACUUUCACCCUUGUCUAAGCAACCCCAACCCAAUCCACUACCUUCUUAGUUGCCUCAUGGUUUCACCAACCAUGUUCAUUUGGUGUGUCUUCUCUUCUUAUUCUUCUAAUGGGUUGGUUUCAAUCCCUCUUCUCUCCACUCAAGAAACUAUGGUUUAAACUCCAUUCUGCCCAUCACAAAAGUAGAGGGAUAUACAUAUUGUAUGAGGAUGUGAAGUCAUGUCCAUAUGAAGAUGUGCAAGUACUCUGGUCGAUAUUGGUGGAGUCGACACAUGCUCCUCCCCAUACCCUUGCCUUGCCUCAACCAAAAUGAAGAAUCUUCCCGAAGACAGACACCCGAGUUUCGAUCGUAUCUUUGUACAUAUCUUUUUUCAAUCAAUCUUGUAUUUCUGUCUGAGGUUUUUUCGGGUAUUGUACUUCACAUUGUUUAAGUUAUUUCUUUCAAUAUACUAUACACAUUCGAAA